rnacentral:rRNA from 1 species
GAUGAACGCUGGCGGCGUGCUUAACACAUGCAAGUCGAACGGAAAGGCCCAAGCUUGCUUGGGUACUCGAGUGGCGAACGGGUGAGUAACACGUGGGUGAUCUGCCCUGCACUUCGGGAUAAGCCUGGGAAACUGGGUCUAAUACCGGAUAGGACCACAUUUUGGAUGGUGUGGUGGAAAGUUUUUCGGUGUGGGAUGAGCUCGUGGCCUAUCAGCUUGUUGGUGGGGUAAUGGCCUACCAAGGCGUCGACGGGUAGCCGGCCUGAGAGGGUGUACGGCCACAUUGGGACUGAGAUACGGCCCAGACUCCUACGGGAGGCAGCAGUGGGGAAUAUUGCACAAUGGGCGCAAGCCUGAUGCAGCGACGCCGCGGGGGGGAUGACGGCCUUCGGGUUGUAAAAUCCUUUCGCUAGGGACGAAGCGUUAUGUGACGGUACCUGGAGAAGAAGCACCGGCUAACUACGUG